UUAAAAAGCUCGUAGUUGGAUUUCUGGUGGGAACGCACGGUCCGCCCCUCACGGGGUGUGCACUAGCUGCGCUUCUUGCCAUCCUCGCGGAGAGCGGCCCUGUCAUUAAGUUGUCGGGGUCGGGAUUCGCGUCAUUUACUGUGAAAAAAUUAGAGUGUUUAAAGCAGGCAAUUGCUGUGAAUACGUUAGCAUGGAAUAAUAAGAUAGGACUUUGGUGCUAUUUUGUUGGUUUGCACGCCAAAGUAAUGAUUAACAGGGACAGUUGGGGGUAUUCGUAUUUAAUUGUCAGAGGUGAAAUUCUUGGAUUUAUGAAAGACGAACUACUGCGAAAGCAUUUACCAAGGAUGUUUUCAUUAAUCAAGAACGAAAGUUAGGGGAUCGAAGAUGAUUAGAUACCAUCGUAGUCUUAACCAUAAACUAUGCCGACUAGGGAUCGGCGGACGUUAUUUGAAUGACUCCGUCGGCACCUUAUGAGAAAUCAAAGUCUUUGGGUUCCGGGGGGAGUAUGGUCGC
rnacentral:rRNA from 1 species